GGAGGUCUGUUCUUAAUUCAUUCUGGAGGUCUGCCACCACUGCGCAAUUUUUGUUCUCGUCCUGAAGCAAAGUUCUUAACCCAAGGUACUAUUUCUGGGUUAGCAGAGUCUGUAACCUGAAGCGUCUGUAACCCAAGGUACCACUGUAGCAACAGGAGCACAGUCAGAGGGCAGUCCAAGGGUGAAGUGAUCACCACAGGGGUUGGGUGAUCAGAAAUAUACAAGCUUGGGAGCUGGUGCUUAAAAUGGCUCCAGCUCUAGGUAGACUGUGCCUACAAACCAAAGGCUUCUAAGACUGCGCUUUCAGAGACCAAUGUAGAGCACAGCUAUGGGCCACCAAUGUUACCUGAGGAAUUGAUCUACUCAUAAGGAGUGAUUUAUUCAUGAGCAUCCCCUUACUCAUGCAGAGUCUGAUCAAGCCUGCACUUCUAGACAUCUGGCCUGCAUUCCUAAGGGCUAGAUAGUCCCUCGGUGUCUGCCUCUGAUAUGGGUUGUCCACAUCUUGAGGGGAAAGAUGGAAAGAUGGACUGCUGUCUCCUCUGAGAUCCCUGGUUCCCCUGAUAUGCCUCAAGCAGUGUUAGAAAUUCAGAUAGAUAAGCUAGCACAUAUGAAUUGACCUAUUCCUACCUCUUCUUCUUAAUAUUGACAUGGACCAUUGAUAACGUAAGAAUAUUCUUCUCAAACGUGAGCAGGGCAGUGGGAUGGGGGAAGUGAAGACAAGUCACAACAAUUAAUUAUAACGUCGUUCAUUGCUCCUGCUCAAGCGGCAAAGAAAAAGCAUUUCCGUUUCUGAAAUUCAUUUGAUUGUGCAGAUAAAAUAUAACUGAUAGAAUUCGACAGCACAUGGUAUUACGGUGUGUAAACAGUUGAGAGCCAAGGAUUCCCAGGCAUGCACCUCUAGAUGGUGGAGAUGUCAGGAGCCAUUCUGACGCCCAGGCAUCUUCACAUGGUCACUCACAAGUGGCCGAUAGCCAGGUGCAAAAUGUGCCUGUCACCUGGCUCAUUUUGAACACUGCUCCCAAAGCUACAAUUCUAUAAUCUCAACUGCAUUGCAUGACUGUAGCUAAUAACAAUUCGCUUGUCUGAGUAUGCAAGAAGGAGAAACACACACAGGAAAAAUGGGAAUGGUAUUAACUAUGGACUGAGGUGGAGGUUUUUAAACUGUGGUCUGCAAGUUCCAUUUGGGUGGCCUUUGGAAAGGCCGCAGGGCAGUCAAAUAUAUCUGUACUCAGCCCUGCACUUCCCUUGAUGUGAUGAUGGAGGACUAAGAUGCCCAGCAAGGGGCCCACGAUGCGCAUGGCAGCGCAGAAGCAGAAGAUGUACGUCUUUUGCUGCGCACAAGUCAGCUGGCUCGAUGGAGAUGUCAGUUGCCAACAUGGCAGCCAUAAAUCUCCCCGUGGUCGCAAUUGGACCCAUGCCAGUAGCAAAUCAUGCCCGGCACCUGGGGAAUUUCCAACACUGGCCUCAAGUUUCCUCAACACAGGGUACUCCUUCAUGAUGUUUUGCUUGGGGGUUACAGGUAAUCCCCUGAAGCAGAUUCCUCCAUUGGGGGAAUGACAUGGGACCUAAGAUGUGGGACCAGCUCGACUGAUUUUAGGGAGCCCAUGGGUACUGAAUGGCUGAACAGGGCUUUACUUAGAAGGAAUCCCUAUGGAAAUUAAUGGUGUAAAGAUGUGAGAAAACAGGUAAGCUUAGAUUCAAAAUAAUUUCAACAGAAGUAGUUUCGUGCUUGAAUCUCUCCAACUUAAAUCUGUAGAACUUAUCACUCAGAAAAUAAUCAAACCGAGAUCAGUGGGACUUACUCCCAAGUAAGUCUGAACAGGACUGAAGCCUAAAUAGUGCUCUGCUUUGUUGGGAUCAUGUCCAGCAUUCCCAAAUUAGAUGACGUUGGCUAAAACGUAUUUUCUCUAGAACUGCCCAGCUGACUUUGUUUUGACUAUUUCAAAGGAAUCAUUUGGCAUGGUUGAUCUCAGCUCAGCUUUGGUAUUAUUGUUGUUGAUUGUUUUGCCCAGUGAACAAGUAGCAGGUUGACGGCAAUUUACCUCAGGAAACUGGUGCAGAGGAAAAGGUUUAACUCAUCCUCUAUUAUGACUCCAAACCAAUUUUGCAGACCUAUGGCUGUUUUCACCCAUCCAGUGAGUUGGUGUUUUCUGAGGAGGGGAAGAAAAAAAUAGAAAUGUUGGCAGAUCCAAUCAGAGGUCUUCCCUAUCUCAUCUAAUCUGCUAGGUAUUCCGAAUCCUGACCAAAGAGAAUGGAGCCCCUAUUGAUCAGACUGCUUGUAGUGAUCCCUCUGGAAGAUUGUCCCCUCCAUUCAUGGAGUAAAGAGUGUGGGCAACAAUGGGAGUGGUCUUUGGCCUUCAAGACUUCUCCACCUUGUGGUCCUGGCUUUAGUUUGGAAAUUACAUAAACUAUGAGAGAGUUUCUCUAAAAACCUUUUCAGGUUGUCCCAGUGUCUGGAGACUGCAAUAGCUGGGGCACUGGGAGUAGAUUGUGAUAACUGACACAUUAAUUGGGUUGUUGAAAUAAAAUUCUAAUGUGCUACUAUUUCCCCCGAUGAACUUGGCUUGCUUUUCUUUUUCUCAUAGUGCAAAUUUCAACAUUUCUUGAAUGUGUUACAACACGUAAUUGCAUUGGCCUAUAUUCAGUAACCCGGCUGCCUGUAAUCCCAGCCACAGUAAGAAUGCUGACUGAUUCAUGGGGUAAAAAUAGCCUUUUACUCAGACCUGGUAUAUGUUAUCACUUGCUCUGUGUUUCAGCUAAUUGUUGAUCAUUUUUGCUUUAAUAGACGCUGACAAGUACAUGGUUGUAUUGAUUCACAUUGAAAAUAAGUAAUGUGAAAUAUUUCCCUUAAACUUGGUACCUCCCAGUGUUAGAAACUGGGACAGAAAAGCUAGGAGCCAAAUGGCUUCUGGGACCUGGGUUGUGGGCGCCAAAACAGAAUAUCUAGUCGCCAUUUGGAGGAGGGGGGUCAGCCACACUUUUUAUUUAUUAUUUUGAUAAGCAUGAACUAAUACACAUAAGCGAUACAUUGUUAAUAUCACAUUUUUAACUGAGGGUCUGUGCUUGUGUGGUAACCCAUGUUAAAACUGUUAAACUGUAGAGCAUCCUUUGGUCAAGAUGGGCAUCUAAGCAUUUCUUAUCAGUUAAGCCAAAACAGCUGCUCUCCCAGCGCCUAUCCUCCAAUAUAUGGCUUUUAAGCCCACAUAAAGGUAAAACAGAUAAAAUGGAUAUGCUCCUUGCAAUUAACAUUAGCUACUGAGCCCAACUGACUUUAAAACUAUUCAGAAUAGAAAGAAAUUAAAACUAGCACAGAGCAUGCUCC